GAUGAAGAACGUAGCGAAAUGCGAUACUUGGUGUGAAUUGCAGAAUCCCGUGAACCAUCGAGUCUUUGAACGCAAGUUGCGCCCGAAGCCAUCAGGUUGAGGGCACGUCUGCCUGGGCGUCACAUAUCGUUGCCCAAUGCCUAUUGCAGUGCAAUAGGAAUUUCUAGGGCGAAUGAUGGCUUCCCGUGAGCGUUGUUGCCUCGCGGUUGGUUGAAAAUCGAGUCCUUGGUAGGGUGUGCCAUGGUAGAUGGUGGUCGAGUUAGAACGAUACCGAUCAUGUGCAUGCUCCCCAAAAUAUGGCCUCUAUGACCCACACGCGUCUUUUGACGCUCAUGACGAGACCUCAGGUCAGGCGGGGCUACCCGCUGAACUUAAGCAUAUCAAUAAGCGGAGGA
rnacentral:misc_RNA from 1 species